rnacentral:rRNA from 1 species
GAUGAACGCUGGCGGCGUGCCUAAUACAUGCAAGUCGAACGCUGGAAAUCUAGCUUGCUCGCUUGAAGGAGUGGCGAACGGGUGAGUAAUACAUAAGCAACCUACCCACGAAGACUGGGAUAAUCUCUGGAAACGGGGACUAAUACCGGAUAGGUAAUCGGAAGGCAUCUUCUGAUUAUUAAAGGUUAAAAACACUGGUGGAUGGGCUUAUGGCGCAUUAGUUAGUUGGUGAGGUAACGGCCCACCAAGACGAUGAUGCGUAGCCGGCCUGAGAGGGUGAACGGCCACAUUGGGACUGAGACACGGCCCAGACUCCUACGGGAGGCAGCAGUAGGGAAGUUUCGGCAAUGGGGGAAACCCUGACCGAGCAACGCCGCGUGAGUGAUGACGGCCUUCGGGGUGUAAAGCUCUGUUGUAAGGGAAGAACGGUAGAUAGAGAAUAUCUAAAUGACGGUACCUUACCAGAAAGCCACGGCUAACUACGUG